CCUACGGGAGGCAGCAGUGAGGAAUAUUGGUCAAUGGACGAGAGGCUGAACCAGCCAAGUAGCGUGAAGGAUGACUGCCCUAUGGGUUGUAAACUUCUUUUAUAAAGGAAUAAAACGAGGCACGUGUGCCUUUUUGCAUGUACUUUAUGAAUAAGGAUCGGCUAACUCCUUGCCAGCAGCCGCGGUAAUACGGAGGAUCCGAGCGUUAUCCGGAUUUAUUGGGUUUAAAGGGAGCGUAGAUGGGUUGUUAAGUCAGUUGUGAAAGUUUGCGGCUCAACCGUAAAAGUGCAAUUGAUACUGGCAGUCUUGAGUACAGUUGAGGUAGGCGGAAUUCGUGGCGUAGCGGUGAAAUGCUUAGAUAUCACGAAGAACCCCGAUUGCGAAGGCAGCUUACUAAACUGUGACUGACAUUGAUGCUCGAAAGUGUGGGUAUCAAACAGGAUUAGAUACCCUUGUAGUC
rnacentral:rRNA from 1 species